UCCGCCUGGGAACUACGAGCAAUAGCUUAAAACCCAAAGGACUUGGCGGUGCUUUAGACCCCCCUAGAGGAGCCUGUUCUAGAACUGAUAACCCCCGUUUAACCUCACCAUCCUUUGUUUUCCCCGCCUAUAUACCACCGUCGUCAGCUUACCCUGUGAAGGGAAAAUAGUAAGCAUAAAUGGCAAAGCCAAAAACGUCAGGUCGAGGUGUAGCGUAUGGGAUGGGAAGAAAUGGGCUACAUUCUCUGUUA
rnacentral:rRNA from 1 species